rnacentral:rRNA from 1 species
AUACGUAGGGUGCAAGCGUUAAUCGGAAUUACUGGGCGUAAAGCGUGCGCAGGCGGUUUUGUAAGACAGUGGUGAAAUCCCCGGGCUCAACCUGGGAACUGCCCUUGUGACUGCAAGGCUGGAGUGCGGCAGAGGGGGAGGGAAUUCCGCGGGUAGCAGUGAAAUGCGUAGAUAUGCGGAGGAACACCGAUGGCGAAGGCAAUCCCCUGGGCCUGCACUGACGCUCAUGCACGAAAGCGUGGGGAGCAAACAGGAUUAGAUACCCUGGUAGUCCACGCCCUAAACGAUGUCAACUGGUUGUUGGGGAUUUAUUUUCUCAGUAACGAAGCUAACGCGUGAAGUUGACCGCCUGGGGAGUACGGCCGCAAGGUUAAAACUCAAAGGAAUUGACGGG